GACGAACGCUGGCGGCGUGCUUAACACAUGCAAGUCGAACGGAAAGGCCCUGCUUUUGUGGGGUGCUCGAGUGGCGAACGGGUGAGUAACACGUGAGUAACCUGCCCUUGACUUUGGGAUAACUUCAGGCAACUGGGGCUCAUACCGGCUAGGAGCUCCUGCUGCAUGGUGGGGGUUGGAUAGUUUCGGCGGUUGGGGAUGGACUGGCGGCCUAUCAGCUUGUUGGUUGGGUAGUGGCUUACCAAGGCGUUGACGGGUAGCCGGCCUGAGAGGGUGAGCGGCCACAUUGGGACGGAGAUACGGCCCAGACUACUACGGGAGGCAACGGUGGGGAAUAGUGCACAAUGGGCGGAAGCCUGAUGCAGCAACGCCGCGUGGGGGAUGACGGCCUUCGGGUUGGAAACCGCUUUCGCCUGUGACGAAGCGUGAGUGACGGUAAUGGGUGAAGAAGCACCGGCUAACUACGUG
rnacentral:rRNA from 1 species